rnacentral:rRNA from 1 species
UACGAAGGGGGCUAGCGUUGUUCGGAAUUACUGGGCGUAAAGCGCGCGCAGGCGGUCUUCCAAGUCAGUGGUGAAAGCCUGGAGCUCAACUCCAGAACUGCCAUUGAAACUGUUGGACUUGAGUACGAGAGAGGUGAGUGGAAUUCCCAGUGUAGAGGUGAAAUUCGUAGAUAUUGGGAAGAACACCUGAGGCGAAGGCGGGUUGCUGGGCUGACACUGACGCUGAGGCGCGAAAGCUUGGGUAGCAAACGGG